CAGGUCCGUUUUGGAGGGUAUUUCUAAUUUCAUUGAUUCUAAUACUUUAUUGGAAGUUCUCCAAAAUUGGUCCUGAUAAUGGCUCCAUUUUGUUGCCAUUUACUUGGACCUUGUUUUGCUCACUUCCCUCUUGAUAUUCACCUUUAAUUCAGGAGUGACAUUUCUUGCACUUCUGAAUCUAUCAAUGGAGGAGUUGAAGUUGCAUUUACUUUCUGCCAGAUUUUUCUAAGACUAUCCCACCACAAGUGAACUAUUGCCUUGUACAAAAUUUAGGUGUUCAACAUUUUCAAUGAUUGAUUGGCUGUUCCAGUGAUGAAUCUAGAGAAUCUCUACUUUAAUCAGUUGUUAUAUUGUGCUCUAUGUGUUGCAUUUGGUAACCCACUGGAAAGUCAUGAUAAAUAUGAAGAACAUUCUUCACCAGUUGACCAUUUAUCAGAAAAAAAUUCGUUAUAUCAGUUUUCAGUGAUGCAAUAUAAAUGUAAUCAUAAAUGAGCCUUGUCAUGAAAUGUUAGGACAGAUAGUUGAUGAGAAAAUGAAAUACAGUUUGCUGAUUGCGUCUGGACAGCAUCUACUGAAAAUGCUUGUUGAAGUUUAGAAUUGUGACAAAACCCUGUUAAAAUUCCAGUGCCUUACCAUUUUACUGUCAAUGAUAAUUUCAUCUGGACUAAGGGUUUGUUUACUUAUGCACCCACUGGUCUUCAUCACAUUUUUCAGUAUGUUCUUAGGCUUGGUCAAUGUUUACAGCAUCUAUCACAUAAAGUUUGUUAAACAAAAAGGAAAGACAGAUAAUAAUCUACAGCUUCAAUAGUUAGGGCACGGAAAUGGUUGACUUCUGCGGAUUGUCCUGCAGGUAGCUGAAUUCAUCUACUGAAUUAUGCUGUAUGAUUUCUUUGUCUGAAAAAUGUGGUUGAAUUGGUGUGGUUUCCAAGGGAAAUGAAAGUUUUUUGUUUUGGGCUGGGGGGGCAGGGGUGGGGGAGUGUGGUUGUUUACAAGAAUCAAUAGACAGGCAUCUAAUCCCUGCAAAAAUUGUCAAGAGUAGCUUGAAUUCAUUGUGCCGAGGAUCAUUAGUUGGAUUGCAAGACUAGUCUGCUGCUGCUAGAGGCACUUAGAACUAGUGAUAGAACCAAUAUGUAAUGCACUUGGCUAAUGUAGCACGUUAAUUUAGGUUAGCAUCACUUUCUGCAAUGGGUUCAAGGUUGCAAAAUCUGAGAUCAAGUGAUGCUCCAAUCAUAAUUGGGAAUUGCAGCAUUGUCAGUUGAAAAAAAUGGAGAAGAAUUUAAGGGGAAAAAUACUUCAACUAAUAAACACUUGCUACAACAUGGCUUUAUUAAACAUAAUAAGUUGUUUAAAUUCAAAUAACUAAUAAACACUUGCUACAACAUGGCUUUAUUAAACAUAAUAAGUUGUUUAAAUUCAAAUACUUUGCAUGGUUAACCUUUUAUGGACCUUGACAUGAGGUUUGGCAAAGACCUAGUAUCCACGCAUCACUCAGAGGGUCAUAUCGCAGCUUCCUUGGAAGGUCAUAGCAUGAUGUUUGCAUAGUAUAUAAAAUUAAUUGGCUCUGAGGUUCUCUAUGAAAAUGUGGAAUUUUCCUAUGAAUUUGUUUAUUUUAUGAACAUACAAAUUUUAUGACUCAUGCAUUCCUCUCUCUCAGCUUC
rnacentral:lncRNA from 1 species